rnacentral:rRNA from 1 species
CACGUAGUUAGCCGGGGCUUCUUACUCAGGUACCGUCCUUUUUCUUCCCUGCUGAUAGAGCUUUACGUACCGAAAUACUUCUUCACUCACGCGGCGUCGCUGCAUCAGGGUUCCCCCCAUUGUGCAAUAUUCCCCACUGCUGCCUCCCGUAGGAGUCUGGGCCGUGUCUCAGUCCCAAUGUGGCCGUCCGCCCUCUCAGGCCGGCUACUGAUCGUCGCCUUGGUAGGCCGUUACCCUCCCAACCAGCUAAUCAGACGCGGGCCCAUCUUAUACCACCUCAGUUUUUCACACUGCGUCAUGCGCCGCUGUGCGCUUAUGCGGUAUUAGCAGCUGUUUCCAGCUGUUAUCCCCCUGUAUAAGGCAGGUUGCCCACGCGUUACUCACCCGUCCGCCACUAGAAUAUGACUUCUUCCAUUCUGCAAGCAGCUCUUCCGAUGUCUUAUCCCCGUUCGACUUGCAUGUGUUAAGCACGCCGCCAGCGUUCAU